rnacentral:rRNA from 1 species
GGGGGGGGGGGGAGGGGUACGUUACGCGGCCUUACACAUGCAAGUCGAGCGGUAGCAGCGGAAGGCAAGCUUGCUGCCCCCGCGUGACGAGUGGCGGACGGGUGAGUAAUGUCUGGGAAACUGCCUGAUGGAGGGGGAUAACUACUGGAAACGGUAGCUAAUACCGCAUAACGUCGCAAGACCAAAGAGGGGGACCUUCGGGCCUCUUGCCAUCGGAUGUGCCCAGAUGGGAUUAGCUAGUAGGUGGGGUAAUAGCUCACCCCACGGCGACGAUCCCUUUAUGCUGGUCUUUGGAGAGGAACACCCACCCACACGGGAAAAUGAAACACCCCUCCACACUCUUUCUACCGGGAGGCAGGCCCAGGUGGGAAAAUUAUUCCACAAAAGGGCCCAAACCCAAAAAAAACCAUUGCCGCGUGUGGGAAGAAGGCCUUCUGGGUUGUAAAACACCUUUCAGCGAGGAGGAAGGUGGUGAACUUAAUACCCUUCAUCAAUUGACGUUACUCGCAGAAGAAGCACCGGCUUAGGGCGCGGCCCACCACCCGCGGCAAUACGGAGGGGGCCAAGCGUUAAUUCGGAAUUACUGGGCGUAAAGCGCACGCAGGCGGUCUGUCAAGUCAGAUGUGAAAUCCCCGGGCUCAACCUGGGGAACUGCAUUGGAAACUGACAAGCUAAAGUUCCGGAAAAGGGGGGUAGAAUUCCAGGUGCUAGCGGUUGAAAAUGCGUAGAGAUCUGGAGAAAUACCGGGGAGCGAAGGCGGGCCCCCUGCCACGAAGUACUGACGCUCAAGGUGCAAAAGCGUGGGGAGCAAACACGAUUACAUACCCCGGGAGUCCACCGCAUGUAAACAAUGUUCGAUUGGGAAGAUCUGUGCACUUAAGCCCCCGCUUCACAAAACUAACGCCUGUAAAUUUCGACCGACGGGGGAGUACCAGGCGGCGCAAGUGUUAAAACUCAAAUGAAUUUGGACGAGGCCGCCCGCACAAGCGGUGGAAACGCCAUGUGAGUUUAAUUCAAUGAAAAGCGCGGAAGAACCUUACCUACUCUUGACAUCCAGAGAACUUUCCAGAGAUGGAUUGGUGCCUUCGGGAACUCUGAGACAGGUGCUGCAUGGCUGUCGUCAGCUCGUGUUGUGAAAUGUUGGGUUAAGUCCCGCAACGAGCGCAACCCUUAUCCUUUGUUGCCAGCGGUUCGGCCGGGAACUCAAAGGAGACUGCCAGUGAUAAACUGGAGGAAGGUGGGGAUGACGUCAAGUCAUCAUGGCCCUUACGAGUAGGGCUACACACGUGCUACAAUGGCGCAUACAAAGAGAAGCGACCUCGCGAGAGCAAGCGGACCUCAUAAAGUGCGUCGUAGUCCGGAUUGGAGUCUGCAACUCGACUCCAUGAAGUCGGAAUCGCUAGUAAUCGUAGAUCAGAAUGCCACGGUGAAUACGUUCCCGGGCCUUGUACACACCGCCCGUCACACCAUGGGAGUGGGUUGCAAAAGAAGUAGGUAGCUUAACCUUCGGGAGGGCGCUUACCACUUGGUCCGCCCCCAACCCCCACA